UGCCUUUAAGAGCUUUAUUAUUGGUUUUACUGCUUGUCUGCAGUAUGUUUUUAGCAAAUUCACAUUAAGUAUAGAGCAGUACAUGUAUUCGUAUACAAGGAACAGUGAUUUUCAGAUGUGUACAGUUCAGUCCUGGUUCUGCUAUGAGUCACUAUGAGCUACAUUACCAGGGCUUUACAGUCAAAAGAAAGCCUUUUACACACAACCCCAUUUCAUGGUUACUUUUAGCCCUCGGAAUCAACAAAUAUUAUUCAGGGAAAAACAUCCAUAUUCAAUUGUAGCUUCUGAUAGAAGGACACACAUUCAUUUUAUUGUGUUUACCAUCCUUUGGUAUAAUGAAGAAAGAGCUUUCAAGGAAGGCCAUUCUAUUGCGGUGGAUAUCAUUGAGUACAACUAUUAAACUAAAAUAAUCCCCUUAAGCAUCAUAAAAACAAAGCAGAGAAGAGGCCCUACAGUUUUUCAGGUGCUCUGGUUCUUGCAGUUUCCAAGAAGAAAAAUACUUAAUUAACCAGAGCAAAGUUUAUAUUGACAGUUUCGUGUGAGUCAUUUUGUUAUUGGUCAGGAAAACUUGUUAGGUCUUAGGCAAAGAGCUUUAACUCUCAGAUUAGCAAAAGAACUGGUGCAAAUUUUUAAGACAUUCAAGACAAAUGAGACUUAAGUCACCCUAUCAGCCUAGUACCCCCUUGAAAGAUGUGCCUUUAUGAUAUAUAACAUAUGCAGUGCAAUAGUAUAUCACAUAUACACAUGUAACAGUAUUUAUGAAUAUUGGUACAACUAUCAGUUAGUGGUUAAUGUAACAGAUUAUUAACCGAUUAUAUAUAACUGAUAAUUACAUAUAAUCGAUUAAUGACUUUCAAACGUACUAAUUUAGGAAGAGUACUUUUGAAUUAAAUAAUCAGUUAAAUGUUUUACCAAGGCAAAAUACUCUCAUCUUAUUACAGCUAGCAGGCAGCUAACUUAGCUUAGCAGGCAGCUAGCUUAGCUCACAAGUUUAAUCAAUAACAAUAAAAAAGUACCCUAGAUUAGCAUUCGCAAUGUUUAUUUUUCUAGACAGUAUUUCAACUAAAUUUUGUUCAAUUUGCAGAAAGGCCUAAAGUUAAACAAAAUUACAUGCAGCUUAUGUAAAAUUUAAAACCAUCAAUAGGAAUGUGUAGAUGCAGACGUGGACGUUUUCCCGCCACUGAUGUUUUUUUUCCUUUUGUAGGUAUGUGUACAGGUGUAUUGUAUAUCAUGUGACAUUGUUUCACUUUGUAUUUGUUGCAUUUUAAUGUGUUCACUGUAUGUGGUGAAUACCUUGGCUGCCAGUCUAAGAUCCAGUGGCUUAGCAUGAACUGGAACAGCUAGCUUGUUUUACAUUUCUCUCUUUGAAUUUCCUUUAUUGGUUGAUGCAUCUACAUUGAAUUGAAAACACAAAAAGUUUGUUUUUAAAUGUGUGACAGAAAUUGAAGGAGCUUGGCUUGACUGGUCUAGUUCUGUCUAAAGAUAAUAGCUGAAGCAGUAUGGUGCACAACCUCCUGCAACAACGAAGCUACUUAUUUUUAGGUUUUACCAGAGGCAACAUUUGUUUUGUUCCAGUCUUUGUAGCCUCAUUUAUUACAUUCUAUAUAGUAAUACCCAUAGUAUCGCUCAUGGCAUCUAAUUCUAAACAAGAAAGGGGAUGAAACAUUUUCAAAAUGUUAUAUUAUUUUUUCGUUUUAGUAUUGUUUCUUUAGUGUCCCUAAAAUCUAAUCUUUUGAAUGAUAUUGCAGCUUAUUAUUUUAAUGAUGCUUUAACCUAAGGGUUACUUGGCUGGGUGUCUAACUGGAACAUUAGAAUCUGUUUAAUCCUGAACCAUAUUAAAUGUAGAUUGAAUUUAGUCUUUUUCUUUAUGUUAGUAAAACUGAAUAAUUUGUUAACUGCCUUAAUGAGGCAUGGCUGUUCUUUUGUUCCUUUUGUCAACAGAAUUAUAAUAUAGUCCUGUUCACAUACAGUAAGUAUUAUACAGUGGCCCCUUCUAGGCUUUAACUAAGAUAAAAUGUAGAAAAAGACAAAUUAUUUACAACUGAAAUCAAUAAAAAUAAUAUUUACAAGUUAUAAAAAAAAAUACAGUAUGGUUAAAAUCAAAAAUCACAUCAGCAGCCGCCUGGAAAGACUCAAAGGCAUUUGUGAUGCAAAAUGUAAAUACAUAAUUACACAUUUAAGUGCUACAAUCUAUAGGACAAAACAGAAAUAUAAUACCAUGUACAGUUGUUAUUUGAGAAUUAAAUACAACAACCCUUACAGAGUAAUGAGAAUACCUUCAUUUAAAGUAACACUACAGCAUGAA
ensembl:lncRNA